AACAUAACGGGAAGCGAUGAAGCCUGCUCAGCAUACGGUCACCAAUGCGCAGGGGGAGCCAAUGGUGAGACCGGCCCGCGAGGAG
rfam:Deinococcus peraridilitoris DSM 19664, complete genome.